GACGGAGGGUGCUAGCGUUGUUCGGAAUUACUGGGCGUAAAGGGCGCGUAGGCGGCUACGGCAGUCGGGUGUGAAAGCCCGGGGCUCAACCCCGGAACGGCAUCCGAUACUCUGUGGCUAGAGACCGGAAGAGGUGGGUGGAAUUCCUAGUGUAGAGGUGAAAUUCGUAGAUAUUAGGAAGAACACCGGUGGCGAAGGCGGCCCACUGGUCCGGUACUGACGCUGAGGUGCGAAAGCGUGGGGAGCGAACAGG
rnacentral:rRNA from 1 species